UUCGUCAUCUCAACUAUAGAGACGUAAACGAAUCAAACUCAAAUCGUUUAGGGAUUGUGCAAAAUUCUAAACUUGGAACUUAGUCACUCUUACUGGUUUUCUGUACAAUGAAUUUGAAGAAUAUAAACUAACCUGUUGUGGCUUGGCUUGAUGAAAUGAACUUCUUAACUACAAAAUUAUUGCCGAAGCACUAACAAAUAUCUGGAGUUUGUACAGUCUUACAGAUCAAGCACUCAUAUUGAUGGAAAUCCUUGUAUUCCCGAAAAGGAAAAA